CAGUAGUCUGAGCAGAGAUGCCCAGACUUCCCUCUCCCUGGACACUUCCUCCAGCUCUUCCGGGGGGACACCGAGGCGUUCCCAGGCCAGCCGGGAGACAUAGUCUCUCCAGCGUGUCCUAGGUCUUCCCCGGGGUCUCCUCCCAGUGGGACGUGCCCGGAACACCUCCCCGGGAAGGCGUCCAGGAGGCAUCCGGAACAGAUGCCCGAGCCACCUCAGCUGACCCUUCUCGAUGUGGAGGAGCAGCGGCUCUACUCUGAGCUCCUCCCGAGUGACCGAGCUUCUCACCCUAUCUCUAAGGGAUCGCCCAGCCACCCUGCGGAGAAAGCUCAUUUCGGCCGCCUGUAUCCGGGAUCUUGUCCUUUCGGUCAUGACCCAAAGCUCAUGACCAUAGGUGAGAGUAGGAACGUAGAUUGACCGGUAAAUCGAGAGCUUUGCCUUAUGGCUCAGCUCCUUCUUCACCACAUCGACCGAAUUACUGCAGAAGCUGCACCGAUCCGUCUGUCAAUCUCCCGUUCCAUCCUUCCCUCACUCGUGAACAAAACCCCAAGAUACUUAAACUCCUCCACUUGAGGAAGGAUCUCUCCACCAACCUGAAGUGAGCAAGCCACCCUUUUCCGACUGAGGACCAUGGCCUCGGAUUUGGAGGUGCUGAUUUUCAUCCCAGCCGCUUCACACUCGGCUGCAAACCGUCCCAGUGCAUGCUGAAGGUCCUGGUGUGAAGGGGCCAACACGACAACAUCAUCCGCAAAAAGCAGCGACGCAAUCGCGUUGUCCCCAAACCUGACACCCUCCGGCCCCUGGCUGCGCCUAGAAAUUCUGUCCAUAAAAACUAUGAACAGAACCGGCGACAAAGGGCAGCCCUGCCGGAGUCCAACAUGCACCGGGAAGAACUCCUGCUUCGGUCAUACAGGGACCGGACAGCCCUUAGCAAAGGACCCCGGACCCCAUACUCCCGGAGCACCCUCCACAGGCCGCCGCGAGGGACACAGUCGAAUGCCUUCUCCAAAUCCACAAAGCACAUGUGGACUGGUUGGGCAAACUCCCAUGAACCCUCCAGCACCCUGUAGAGAGUAUAGAGCUGGUCCAGUGUUCCACGGCCCGGACGAAAACCGCACUGUUCCUCCUGAAUCCGAGGUUCCACUA